GACGGGGGAUGCGAGCGUUAUCCGGAAUUAUUGGGCGUAAAGCGUCCGCAGGUGGCACUUCAAGUCUGUCGUCAAAGACUGGGGCUUAACCCUGGAAAGGCGGUGGAAACUGAAGCGCUAGAGUGCGGUAGGGGUAGAGGGAAUUCCCGGUGUAGCGGUGAAAUGCGUAGAGAUCGGGAAGAACAUCGGUGGCGAAAGCGCUCUACUGGACCGCAACUGACACUCAGGGACGAAAGCUAGGGGAGCGAAUGGG
rnacentral:rRNA from 1 species